rnacentral:rRNA from 1 species
GAUGAACGCUGGCGGCGUGCCUAAUACAUGAAAGUCGAGCGAAGCGGGGACGGGUGAGUAACACGUGGAUAACCUCCUAUAAGACUGGGAUAACUUCGGGAAACCGGAGCUAAACCGGAUAAUUAUAGAUUGAUCCGCUCCGCAUUAGCUAGUUGGUAAGGUAACGGCUUACCAAGGCAACUAUGCGUAGCCGACCUGAGAGGGUGUGCUGCCACACUGGAACUGAGACACGGUCCAGACUCCUACGGGAGGCAGCAGUAGGGAAUCUUCCGCAAUGGUCGAAAGCUUGACGGAGCAACGCCGCGUGAGUGAUGAAGGUCUUCGGAUCGUAAAACUCUGUUAUUAGGGAAGCGGUACCUAAUCAGAAAGCCACGGCUAACUACGUGCCAGCAGCCGCGGUAAUUC